AAGUGCUGGAUCAGCCUGAUCUCCUGGGAGUUAUGAAUCAGAUGGUCUGAAUGUCCUUGCGAGACUUGUGGAAAGAGAAAUGUUAUCCAGGUUUUUCCUUCAGAACUUUUCAUAGGCGAUCCUGGGAGCUCUGACCUAGAACUGAAAUGACUUUUGAUUUUGAAAAUAAUUAGAAUUAAUUUUGUAAGGCUGCUUCUCUCUCUCUCUCUACAUAUAUAUAUGCUUCUAAAUAUAUAUAUUUGUAAAAUACAGUAAUCUAUGGGCUAGAAACUGUGAUAAGAAGCUAUAAUAGAAAUUUACAGUUAAAGAAAUGAUGGAUAAUGUGGGAUUGUGGUUAAAGAUCAGAAGAAAAAUGCUUUGGUUCUCCAAUCUUGACUUCUUGCAUUAGGUAUUUUGCUGGGGGAAGAGAGGGAGGGAGACAGAGAGAGAGAGA
rnacentral:lncRNA from 1 species